rnacentral:rRNA from 1 species
UGGGGAAUAUUGGACAAUGGGCGAAAGCCUGAUCCAGCAAUGCCGCGUGAGUGAUGAAGGCCUUAGGGUUGUAAAGCUCUUUUACCCGGGAUGAUAAUGACAGUACCGGGAGAAUAAGCCCCGGCUAACUCCGUGCCAGCAGCCGCGGUAAUACAGAGGGGGCUAGCGUUGUUCGGAAUUACUGGGCGUAAAGCGCACGUAGGCGGCUUUGUAAGUUAGAGGUGAAAGCCCGGGGCUCAACUCCGGAAUUGCCUUUAAGACUGCAUCGCUAGAAUUGUGGAGAGGUAAGUGGAAUUCCGAGUGUAGAGGUGAAAUUCGUAGAUAUUCGGAAGAACACCAGUGGCGAAGGCGACUUACUGGACACAUAUUGACGCUGAGGUGCGAAAGCGUGGGGAGCAAACA